GUUCCUGGCAUCAUCUGAGUACUAGCUACAUAGAUCCAGCUCUGCCUGACUUUUCAGUUUUAUGAGCUGGUGUGCAGAAGCAUGAUGCUUCUCUCCCCACCUUUGACUGUUCACUGAUUGGAACCACAAGACAGACCAGAUGGGAGGACUGGACCAAUAAUGGGUGCAAGAUGCCAACAAGAAUGUGCAGCAAGCAGCAGGGAUUUGGCCAGGGCUGAAAGACAGCACGACCACGUCAGUGCAGUGCCAAGCCGCCG